AGUUCGAAUUUGGUUUCUCCGUACUUCUGUUGUCACCUGUUGUCUGUUCAGUAAUGGCUUUUCUUCGGUCGCUUCAAGUUGAAGAAAUGGCAUUGACAUCAAAAUCUCGCAAGUAUGGCUUUGUGGCCUGGCUGCUGAGCACAUCGGUUGGAUUGUCGCUUUCUUUCUUGAGUUACUUUGGUUGAACAGUCACCAACUCUUCUCACAAGUGGCAUCGUGCAAGGACAUGCUUACUCCGUCUUACACCGUGUUGCUUUGGUUGCAUCUGUGACUUGCUGAGUAGGGGAAGGGCACAUGCUAUUUCUUGAUUUAACUUCUUAUGUAACUCUCCUAUCCUCUGAACAAGUGAAUCUCAUUCUCUCAAAUGUUUUACUUAACAGGGCGUAAGGUUUCUCAAGAACAACUCCUGGAUUUCGUUACUACAAAUCGAGCCAUGAUUCGCAGUUGUUCUAUAUUGGAAUGAGGAUUCUUAAAACUCGUGGACAUCGUGCUGCUUACAACAUAUUUCUUCAUGAAUCUGUUGGUGGAACAGACUAUGUGAACUCCCGUGAGCUAUCAUGCGAAAUGGUUCUUGAUCCUGAUCCCAAGGGUUAUACUAUUGUCCCGACCUGUGAGGAUUUGCUCCGAUCAAGUCUCCGAUCAAACGUCUUCCUCUUCACCGAUUACUGUAACUUCAAGAAGUGAAAGACACGACGGUUGUUGACCCGGAGUUCACCGCACUCUUCCGUUAACGAGGAAGAGCCGCUAUAUCUCUCCGGAGCUGGGAUCGAACCAGCAAUCACUAUACAGCUCACAAGCGAGCUCCGUUACAACGGCAAAGACUCGAUUCUCUAUCUCAAUGUUCUCGGUUGAUAACAAACUCUAUAUCAACUCGAGACCUUGACCACUCAGCUUUAUACUCAGCUGAUAACACCCGUGCAACUCACGUGUGAUCAAGUGAGAAAGAACCGACCCUAAACCGGAAUCAAUUAGUGAUUACAAGAAAUAACCGGAAACAACUUAACUCGAAUCAAACCGCUUCGCGUCAAGCCGAACCGGAACCUUCUUCUUCUCUUAGAGUCUUCCCGACUUGAACUCUUCCUUUUGAUCUAAUGACUAGAUCCUUCAAAUCUCCACCUUAGGCAUUAGAUUAACCUCUACGCCAAACUCUUGAGCUCUUGACCGAGCACUAGCAUCUUGACCGAUGCUUCUAACCACUUGUUUAUCUUCUUGAAACUCGAAGGAGCUGCAGAGCAUCCUUCACCUUGUAGACUGGAAGCACCUUAGUGAAUAUAUCAGCUGGAUUAACUUCUGUAGCAAUCUUAGUAACCUUGAUCACUCCCUUCUUAAUCCAGUCUCUGCCAAAGUUGUACUUCACCGCCAUAUGCUUCGUCCUCUCGUGAAAUACUGCAUUCUUGGACAAUGCAAUGGCGCUUUGAGAAUCACAGAAUAUCUCCACUGACUCUUGUUUGAACCCCAAUUCCUCAGCAAGGCCUUUCAACCAUAGACCUUCACGUAUAGCUUCUGACAAUGAGAUAUAUUCUGCUUCAGUAGUUGACAACGCCACAACCUGCUGAAGCUGUGAUCUCCAACUGAUAGUGUUGCCUCCAACCGUGUAAACAAUACCGUUUAUAGACCUCCUAUGAUCCAAAUCUGCAGCAUAAUCUGAAUCACAAUAACCCUUCACUAUGAACUCUCCUUGCUUCCGGUAGCAAAGUUUAGUGUCAACUGAUCCUUGUAUGUACCUCAAGACCCACUUGACUGCACUCCAGUGUUCAUGUAGCGGCUUGCUCAUGAACCGACUUAUCAAUCCUACUGAGUAAGCAAGAUCAGGUCUUGUACCAAUCAUGGCAUACAUGAUACUCCCAACUGCACUCUGAUAUGGAAUGUUCUUCAUGGACUCCACCUUCUCCUGAUAUUCCUUAUCAGACGGAGUACUUAACUUGAAGUGAACUCCCAUUGGCGUAGCAGUUGGUUUACACUGAUCCAUCUUAAAGUUCGAUAGAACUCUUCUCAGAUAACCUUCCUGCGAUAUCCACAAACACCCAUUUACUCUGUCCCUUUCUAUCUCCAUCCCGAGAAUCUUCUUAGCAUCUCCUAAAUCUUUCAUCUCAAACUCACUGCUUAGAAGUAUCUUAAGCGCCUUGACUUCUUCUUUGUUCUUAGACGCAAUCAAUAUAUCAUCUACGUAUAGCAGUAGAUAGAUAUACUCCUCUGUCUUCUUUAACACCUUGUAAUAGACGCAACUGUCGUACUCACUUCGACUGAACUGAAUCACCUUCAUGAAGUCAUCAAAACGCUUAUUCCAUUGACGCGGGGAUUGUUUGAGACCAUACAAUGAUCUCUCAAGCUGACAGACCUUCUCUGGAUACUUCUUAUCCACAAAACCCUCAGGCUGCUCCAUGACUAUGAACUCUUCUAUCUCACCGUGAAGAAACGCUGUCUUGACAUCCAUUUGUUGUAGUUCCAUGUCAUGGUGGACCACUGCUGAUAACAUGUAUCUGAUAGACACAUGUUUGACUACUGGUGCGAAUAUCUCUUGAUAGUCCACCCCCUCCUUCUGCGAGUAUCCCUUAGCGACGAGUCUCGCUUUGUGACGCGGGUCCUCCACUCCCAAGAUUCCAGGCUUCUUCUUGAAUAGCCAUCUACAUUCUAUGGUCUUCUUGCCAACUGGUCUGUCAAUGAGUUUCCACGUCUUGUUUUUAAUCAAGGACAUCAUCUCUUCCUUCGCUGCUUCUAGCCAUUUAUCACUGUCUGCAUGCUUCAUGGCCUCUUGGAAACUUCCAGGUUCAGAACUUCCAUCCUCUGCUAUAAGACACAUGAGAAUAGAGAAUUCUUCCUCGUAGGUCAUGGCAAACUCACACUCAUAGUCUCCAAGCCUAACAGGCGGUGCGGUUUGUCUUCGAGGCCUAUCUCUAGCUAGCAGGUAAUCACUCAAGCUCCCUUCACUUCCAACAACUGGGGCUUGUUCUUCGUUGGCCUCUUCAUCUGGUAUUGGAGCAAUGUCACCACCUUGAACGUCGCUCAUUGGUUCACCCGAUGACUCACCAAGCUCAAGGUUCACCAUCCUCUGUUCUGGAACAGAUUGUGGAUCCUGGGACUCUUCAUCAUCUUUUGACAGAUUCUUGAACACUUUGUCUUCACGGAAGACAACAUUUCUACUGAUGACACACUUCUGCUCAUCCAGUAACCACACCUUGAAUCCCUUUACUCCUUCAGGGUAACCGGUAAACACUCCACGCUUCGCUCUUGGCUUGAGUUUACCAUCAUCUGUAUGUAUGUAGACUAGGCACCCGAAUCUCUUGAGUCCUGAGAGAUUGGGCAUAACUGAAGUCCACACUUCCUCUGGGACCUUAAACUCAAUAGCAGAUGAUGGUGAUCUGUUGAUCAAAUAUACUGCUGUAGCAGCCGCUUCUGCCCAAAACUUCUGACCAAGACCACUCUCACUAAGCAUGCUUCUUACUUUGUUCAUAAUAGAUCUGUUGAGCCUCUCUGCCACGCCAUUCUGUUGAGGCGUGUACGUACAGGUUCGGUGCCUGACAAUGCCCUCCUCUUUGCAGUAACUGUCGAACUCUCUGUUGCAGAACUCGAGACCGUUGUCAGUUCUGAGCUUCUUCACCUUUCUCUCUGACUGCGUCUCAACCAUCUGUUUCCACUCUUUGAAGCUCCUGAAUGCCUCAGACUUGAACCGUAGAAAAUAGAUCCAGACUUUCCGAGAGAAGUCGUCAGUAAACGAGACGAAGUACUGACACUUGCUCAAACUAUAUGGGACGUUGGGAGAGCCCCAUAAGUCGGAAUGAACAUAGUCCAAUUUGUCUUUAGUCACGUGUUGAGCUGACCCAAAACUCACUCGCUGAGUCUUUCCCAUUACGCAGUCUUCACAGAACUUAAACUCUGUGAUCUUCUUGCCUUCUAUACAUCCCUUCCUAGCAAGUUCUUCAAGUCCUUUGUGACCAAUGUGGCCCAAGCGACUGUGCCACAUCAUAGUUUGAUCUUGACUCAGCACUGACUUCUCUGUAGGGGAUCCUACUGAAUUGGACUCAGACCUUGUCGCUCCACCUUGAAGAAUAUACAGUGAAUGCCUCCUGAGACCUCUCAUGAACACUGUACAACCCAUGAUGACCUUCAAUACUCCGUUUGAACCUUUGAACUCACAGCCUUUAUCUUCAAGUAACCCAAGAGAUAUCAGGUUACGAGAGAUUCCAGGCAUGAACCUUACAUCAUGGAGAACAAAUGUAGUUCCGUCUGGAUUUUGAAACCUGACUGAACCUACUCCUUUCACCUCUGACACUGAGUCGUUUGCCAUCCUAACCUUGCCUGAAGAAACCUCUUCAAAACGAAUGAACACGUCUCUCCUCGGUGUCAUGUGGAACGUGCAACCUGUGUCCAAGAUCCAUUCCUCAUAGUCUGAUGAGCUUGCCGAAAUGUUAACCUCUGCUACAAGAAGCCCCACAAGAUCUCUGGCAUCAUCUCUGGCUGAAGCAGCUUCGCCUUUCUCAGAACCGUUCUGCUUGCCCUUAUUCCUCUCAAUCCACUUGUAGCACUGCUUCUUGUAGUGGCCCUCUUUACCGCAUAUCCAGCAGACUCUCUUCCCCUCCUUUGACUUGGACCUGUACUUGUUCCUGUCUUUUCCAGAGCCAGUAUUUCUACUAUAUGAUCUACCUCUAACAUAGUGGCCUUCACCACUAGGUCUAGAACUAACAGCAUCCCUAAAUUCCGAUUCCUUAGACCUAGCCGCACUAGCUACUUCAUCUACCUUAAUAGCAUCACGACCAUACUUUAAGGUUUCUUUCAAGGAAUCAUACCUGGCAGGGAGUGAGUUCAGUAAGAGGAUAGCUUGUACCUCCUCCGGUACUUCAAUGCUCAGGUUGCUCAGGUCCGUUAUGAUCUUGAGGAAGUCAUCCAUGUUUUGAUCAAUCGUCUUGGAAUCCUGCAUCUUAAACGAGUAAACUUUUAGUUGCGCAUGAACUCUGUUAGGUAAACUCUGAGUCAUGUAUAAACGAUCAAGAAGCAUCCAAGCUUGAGCCGCUGUGGUGCACUUGUCGAUCUUGCGGAGAACUUGAUCUCCAACACUCAUGAAGAUCAAGUUCAUCGCCUUCUCGUCUCUUUCAGAUCUCGUAGCUUCAUCUGCAACUCGCUUCUUGAGUUCUUCAGGAUCCUCCUCCUUUGGAUCCAACUCCUUUGGAUCUUGAGUCUUCUCGGUUAGAACAUCCUUCAACCCUUGCACGCUGAGGUUUGCGUACAUCCUUUUCUUCCAGAUCGAGAAAUCUCCAGUGCCGUCGAACAUCGUCAUUGCGAAGGGAUGAGUCGUCAUCUUGAUGAACGGAUUCGAAGUCAUCUUGACUCGAGUCGCUUCCGUCGUCUUCAAUCGGUAAGCCUAUGGUUUAGGUAACCAGGCUCUGAUACCAAUUUGUGAGGAUUUGCUCCGAUUAAGUCUCCGAUCAAACGUCUUCCUCUUCACCGAUUACUGUAACUUCAAGAAGUGAAAGACACGACGGUUGUUGACCCGGAGUUCACCGCACUCUUCCGUUAACGAGGAAGAGCCGCUAUAUCUCUCCGGAGCUGGGAUCGAACCAGCAAUCACUAUACAGCUCACAAGCGAGCUCCGUUACAACGGCAAAGACUCGAUUCUCUAUCUCAAUGUUCUCGGUUGAUAACAAACUCUAUAUCAACUCGAGACCUUGACCACUCAGCUUUAUACUCAGCUGAUAACACCCGUGCAACUCACGUGUGAUCAAGUGAGAAAGAACCGACCCUAAACCGGAAUCAAUUAGUGAUUACAAGAAAUAACCGGAAACAACUUAACUCGAAUCAAACCGCUUCGCGUCAAGCCGAACCGGAACCUUCUUCUUCUCUUAGAGUCUUCCCGACUUGAACUCUUCCUUUUGAUCUAAUGACUAGAUCCUUCACGACCACUAUACAUACACCCAGGGGAAGAAGCACCUUUUGUUCUUUCAGUCUUCACAAAAGCAUCUGUUGUCCUUGAAGCUUUAUAGUUUUCCCCUCAUAGUAGGCAGAUGGCUCUCUCUCCUUCUUUGUCCUAAGUGCUUGUGUUGUUCAAGGAACCAGACGGCUCAUUUUUCAAAGUUAAAAGACUUGUUUUCCCGCAAUCAAGCGCAACGUUAGAGAAACUGGCCAUUAUCUGGUGAAUCUCGGAGGUCUUUGAAAUGGCAUAUUAUUUUAGUGAUCUGCUUCCCUAGCUGACGGCUCAGGUGACAAGUUUCACUGGAGAAAGCACUUUGAGGUCAUGGCUCACGGAUCAAAUGUACAUAAGUAGAGGUCUUGUGACAGUACAGAUUUUUAAAACUGUAGAAUAACUAGUUUGUAACUGGGAAAACAACAAGGGAAGUAGGAGACUUGUGACUCGUUAGGUAAAUGAGUUUGUACUUUGGUAGUGGUAGCUGCAGUUUUGGUUCGUGUGUUGUAAUAUUCAGACACUAAUCUGUUUGCAGAUUUCAUUUCAUCUAAUAUAUAAGCUAAUAUGUUUGGAGUU